rnacentral:rRNA from 1 species
GCGGAGGAAAAGAAACCAACAGGGAUUGCCUUAGUAACGGCGAGUGAAGCGGCAAAAGCUCAAAUUUGAAAUCUGGCACCUUCGGUGUCCGAGUUGUAAUUUGAAGAAGGUAACUUUGGAGUUGGCUCUUGUCUAUGUUCCUUGGAACAGGACGUCACAGAGGGUGAGAAUCCCGUGCGAUGAGAUGCCCAAUUCUAUGUAAAGUGCUUUCGAAGAGUCGAGUUGUUUGGGAAUGCAGCUCUAAGUGGGUGGUAAAUUCCAUCUAAAGCUAAAUAUUGGCGAGAGACCGAUAGCGAACAAGUACAGUGAUGGAAAGAUGAAAAGAACUUUGAAAAGAGAGUGAAAAAGUACGUGAAAUUGUUGAAAGGGAAGGGCUUGAGAUCAGACUUGGUAUUUUGCGAUCCUUUCCUUCUUGGUUGGGUUCCUCGCAGCUUACUGGGCCAGCAUCGGUUUGGAUGGUAGGAUAAUGACUAAGGAAUGUGGCUCUACUUCGGUGGAGUGUUAUAGCCUUGGUUGAUACUGCCUGUCUAGACCGAGGACUGCGUCUUUUGACUAGGAUGUUGGCAUAAUGAUCUUAAGCCACCCGUCUU